ACAACAGGUGGAGCCUGCGGUUAAUCGGACUCAACGCCGGGAAACUCACCAGAUAAGACAGCUGAAUGAUAGUCGGGCUGAAGACUCACUUGACUAGCUGAGAGGAGGUGCAUGGCCGUCGUCAGUUCGUACUGUGAAGCAUCCUGUUAAGUCAGGCAACGAGCGAGACCCACGCCAACAGUUGCCAGCUCGUCCUCCGGGAUGGUGGGGACACUGUUGGGACCGCCUCUGCUAAAGAGGAGGAAGGAAUGGGGCAACGGUAGGUCAGCAUGCCCCGAAUUAUCUGGGCUACACGCGGGCUACAAUGGGUGGGACAAUGGGUAUCGACACCGAAAGGUGAAGGCAAUCUCCUAAACCCAUCCGUAGUUCGGAUUGUGGGCUGCAACUCGCCCACAUGAAGCUGGAAUCUGUAGUAAUCGUGUCUCAAAAUGGCACGGUGAAUAUGUCCCUGCUCCUU
rnacentral:rRNA from 1 species